UACGUAGGGCGCAAGCGUUGUCCGGAUUUAUUGGGCGUAAAGAGCUCGUAGGCGGUCUGUCGCGUCGGCUGUGAAAACCCGAGGCUCAACCUCGGGCCUGCAGUCGAUACGGGCAGACUAGAGUGCGGUAGGGGAGACUGGAAUUCCUGGUGUAGCGGUGAAAUGCGCAGAUAUCAGGAGGAACACCGGUGGCGAAGGCGGGUCUCUGGGCCGUAACUGACGCUGAGGAGCGAAAGCGUGGGGAGCGAACAGG
rnacentral:rRNA from 1 species